rnacentral:rRNA from 1 species
GAUGAACGCUGGCGGCGUGCCUAAUACAUGCAAGUCGAGCGAACGGACGAGAAGCUUGCUUCUCUGAUGUUAGCGGCGGACGGGUGAGUAACACGUGGAUAACCUACCUAUAAGACUGGGAUAACUUCGGGAAGCCGGAGCUAAUACCGGAUAAUAUUUUGAACCGCAUGGUUCAAAAGUGAAAGACGGUCUUGCUGUCACUUAUAGAUGGAUCCGCGCUGCAUUAGCUAGUUGGUAAGGUAACGGCUUACCAAGGCAACGAUGCAUAGCCGACCUGAGAGGGUGAUCGGCCACACUGGAACUGAGACACGGUCCAGACUCCUACGGGAGGCAGCAGUAGGGAAUCUUCCGCAAUGGGCGAAAGCCUGACGGAGCAACGCCGCAUGAGUGAUGAAGGUCUUCGGAUCGUAAAACUCUGUUAUUAGGGAAGAACAUAUGUGUAAGUAACUGUGCACAUCUUGACGGUACCUAAUCAGAAAGCCACGGCUAACUACGUG